UCCCCGAUAGCUCAGUUGGUAAAGAAUCCGCCUGCAAUGCAGGAGACCCUGGUUCGACUCCUGGUCGGGGAG
rnacentral:tRNA from 1 species